CUUGACCGUGCCCAAGGUAGCAUAAUCAUUUGUCUUUUAAUUAAAGGCUUGUAUGAAUGGUUGGAUGAGAUAUAAUCUAUUUUUAUUUAAUUAAAAAUGAAUUUUAAUUUUUAGUAAAAAUGCUAAAAUAAAAAAUAUAGACGAGAAGACCCUAUAAAUCUUUAUUAUUUUUUUAUUAAUUUAUUAAUAGAAAAAAAAAUUUAUUAUUAGAAAAAUAAUUUUAUUGGGGUGAUAAUGAAAUUUAAUAAACUUUUAUUUUAUUUUAUAAAUAUAAUUAAUUUAAUGAUCCAUUUUUAAUGAUUAUAAAAUUAAGUUACUUUAGGGAUAACAGCGUAAUUAUUUUAAAGAGUUCAUAUCGAUAAAAUAGUUUGCGACCUCGAUGUUGAAUUAAGAGUAAGUUACGGUGCG
rnacentral:rRNA from 1 species